CAAUCAUGCCAAUUUAUCACAAGCCAUUUAAUUUAAAACCAUAAAUUUACAACACAAGUAGGCAGUCUCCAAUUACUCUAUUUUCAAAACCAGUAUUCGAUUUUUUAGAAAAUUUAUAAAAUCAUUUUAUAAAAUCACAAUUUCUCCUAAAACAUAGCAAUUUACCAUUUAAACCCAUUUUCCAUAAAAUCACACAAUUGUAUAAAACUACUCUAGAUAAUUAAGACGAUAAUAA
rnacentral:lncRNA from 1 species